UACGGAGGGUGCAAGCGUUGUCCGGAUUUAUUGGGUUUAAAGGGUGCGUAGGCGGCUAAUUAAGUCAGCGGUGAAAUUCCACAGCUCAACUGUGGAACUGCCAUUGAUACUGGUUGGCUUGAGUACAGAUGAGGUAGGCGGAAUUGACAGUGUAGCGGUGAAAUGCUUAGAUAUUGUCAAGAACACCGAUUGCGAAGGCAGCUGACUGAGCUGAAACUGACGCUGAGGCACGAAAGCGUGGGGAUCAAACAGG
rnacentral:rRNA from 1 species